rnacentral:rRNA from 1 species
AUGGCCUCCGAGGCUCGCAAGGCCGCCGCCGCAGCGCGCCCGCCUCCCCGCGACUUCCUCGCCCACCUCGAGGACUACCUCGCCCGCCGCGACGGCGUCGACAAGCUCCUCAAGAUCUCACGCUACGCCGCGCGCCUCGCCCUCGCCGCAGGGCCGCUGCCCCCGCCGGCCUCCGCGCGCCUCAAGUCCUUCGAGUCCAGCCUCGGCCUCAGCCGCAAGGCCUUCCGCCUCGGCAAGUUCGUCCAGGACGUCAACGCCCUCCGCGCGCACCCCGGCCCCCUCCCUCCGCCCUUCGUGCUCCUCGCCUACGGCGGCGAGGGCGUCUACUACUUCAUCGAGCAAUUCGUCUGGCUUGCCAAAGCUGGCCUCCUCCCGGCGCACCUCCUCCCCCGCCUCCAGCGCCUCAGCGCCUGGGCCGAGCUGCUGGGCUACGUCGGCUCCAUCACCAUCAAGCUGGAAGAGGUGACGAAGAUGGAGUCUUCGAUCAAGAUGCGGCUGGCGGAGGGUUGUGGGGAGGAGAACGAGGCGGUGAGGACGAUGCGGGGGAAGCUGCUGCUGAAGCGUCUGUCCGUUGUGCAGGACGUGGCGGAUGCCUUCAUGGCGCUAGGGGACGUGACUAACGGGAAGGGGUUGCUCGGUAGUUCCACGCUGACGGCGUCCGCCGGAUUGCUGUCGGCGCUGAUCAGCACGCACAAGAACUGGAAUUCUUGCUGA